rnacentral:rRNA from 1 species
AGCGACGAAUAUUCCGCAAUGCGCGAAAGCGUGACGGAGCAAUGCCGCGUGAAGGAUGAAGCAUCUCGGUGUGUAAACUUCUGUCAGGUCUUAGAAAGUACUGAUCAGGACCAAAGGAAGGGCCGGCUAAGUUCGUGCCAGCAGCCGCGGUAAUACGAACGGCCCGAGCGUUAAUCGGAAUCACUGGGCUUAAAGCGUACGCAGGCGGACCAGAAAGUACCUUGUGAAAUCCCUCGGCUCAACCGAGGAACUGCUUGGUAUACUGCUGGUCUUGAGUGUGGUAGGGGCGGUCGGAACGAUAGGUGGAGCGGUGAAAUGCGUAGAUAUCUAUCGGAACGCCAAAGGAGAAGUCAGGCCGCUGGGCCACCACUGACGCUCAUGUACGAAAGCGUGGGUAGCGAACGGGAUUAGAUACCCCGGUAGUCCACGCCGUAAACGAUGUGCACUAGACUCGGGAGGAUCUGACGCCCUCCGAGUUGCAGAGAAAUCAUUAAGUGCACCGCCUGGGGAGUACGGUCGCAAGGCUAAAACUCAAAGGAAUUGACGGGGGCUCACACAAGCGGUGGAGCAUGUGGCUUAAUUCGAAGCAACGCGAAGAACCUUAUCCUGGAUUGAACUACGGCGGAUUAGUGAUGUGAAAGCAUCAUGACGCAGUUUACUGUGGAACGUCGAUAGGUGCUGCAUGGCUGUCGUCAGCUCGUGCUGUGAAGUGUCGGGUUAAGUCCCUUAACGAGCGAAACCCCUGUCGUUAGUUGCCAACACGUAAUGGUGGGGACUCUAACGAGACUGCCGGUGUCAAACCGGAGGAAGGUGGGGAUGACGUCAAGUCCUCAUGGCCUUUAUGUCCAGGGCUGCACACGUGCUACAAUGGCGUAUACAGAGCGACGCGAGACCGCGAGGUGGAGCAAAUCGCAAAAAGUACGCCCCAGUUCGGAUUGGAGUCUGCAACUCGACUCCAUGAAGAUGGAAUCGCUAGUAAUCGCGUAUCAGCUACGACGCGGUGAAUACGUUCCUGAGCCUUGUACACACCGCCCGUCAAGUCAUGGAAGCCGGGAGUGCCCGAAGCCGCCCUGAGUCAGGGGUGUCUAAGGUAAGUUCGGUGACUGGGACU